AGUCGAGCGCGAAAGGUUCUUCGGGAACCGAGUAGAGCGGCGGAAGGGCGAGUAAUGCGUGGGAACGUACCUCCUGCACGGGGAUAGCCCACCGAAAGGUGGGAUAAUACCCGAUGAUCCGGCAACGGCAAAGGUGGGGACCCCUUCGGGGGCCUACCGGCGGGAGAGCGGCCCAUGUCCUAUCAGCUUGUUGGUGAGGUAACGGCUCACCAAGGCGACGACGGGUACCGGGACUGAGAGGUUGGCCCGGCGCAUUGGGACUGAGACACUGCCCAGACUCCUACGGGAGGCUGCAGUAACGAAUAUUCCACAAUGGACGCAAGUCUGAUGGAGCAAUGCCGCGUGCGGGACGAAGCACUUCGGUGUGUAAACCGCUGUCAGGGAUUACCAAGCAACGGAGGCUAAUACCCUCCCGCGUUGAGGCGUCCCAGAGGAAGCCACGGCUAACUUCGUGCCAGCAGCCGCGGUAAUACGAAGGUGGCGAGCGUUGUUCGGAAUCACUGGGCUUAAAGGGCGUGCAGGCGGCCGUGCAAGCGUCUUGUGAAAUCCCCCGGCUCAACCGGGGAAUGGCUGGGCGAACUGCACGGCUUGAGGCAGGUAGGGGUGCGUGGAACUCUUGGUGGAGCGGUGAAAUGCGUAGAUAUCAAGAGGAACGCCGGAGGCGAAAGCGACGCACUGGGCCUGUCCUGACGCUGAGACGCGAAGGCCAGGGGAGCGAACGGGAUUAGAUACCCCGGUA
rnacentral:rRNA from 1 species